GCCAAAGUAGCUCAGUUGGGUGAGCGUUAAACCAAAGCUCUAAAGGUCCCUGGUUCAAUCCCUGGGUUUGGCA